rnacentral:rRNA from 1 species
CCUACGGGUGGCAGCAGUGAGGAAUAUUGGUCAAUGGACGCAAGUCUGAACCAGCCAUGCCGCGUGCAGGAAGACGGCUCUAUGAGUUGUAAACUGCUUUUGUACGAGGGUAAACGCAGAUACGCGUAUCUGUCUGAAAGUAUCGUACGAAUAAGGAUCGGCUAACUCCGUGCCAGCAGCCGCGGUAAUACGGAGGAUUCUAGCGUUAUCCGGAUUUAUUGGGUUUAAAGGGUGCGUAGGCGGUUGGUUAAGUUAGUGGUGAAAGUCCGCGGCUCAACCUCGGAAUUGCCUCUGAUACUGGUCGGCUAGAGUGUAGUUGCGGUAGGCGGAAUGUAUGGUGUAGCGGUGAAAUGCUUAGAGAUCAUGCAGAACACCGAUUGCGAAGGCAGCUUACCAAGCUACUUCUGACGUUGAGGCACGAAAGCGUGGGGAGCAAACAGGAUUAGAUACCCUGGUAGUC